CUCCUCGUCACAGUGAAGCCAUUCCCCGAUAAUUGACGAGUGUCUACAACAAUAAUCUUUUGGAACGAUAAUCGUGUUUGCGGGCGCACCCGCGCGGUGAAUCGGUUCCUAAGUGGAUAACAAACUCAACAACGUCGUUCAACCAUAUCACCACGCCCGAGCUAUGAAUAGAUAAUAUAUCUAGUAACGAAACAAAAAAGAUUUACUAUUUUUACUAGUGUAAUGCCAAUUAAGAAUUAAUUGGUGUAGUGAUAAUUGAAGGUGCAUUUAGAAUAAAUAGUACUGAUGUACUUAUCGUUAAGGAUAAAAGGAAGCAGAUUAUCGAGACACAUGGCGUCCGUGAGCCUGAGGAGCACGCUGCGGAUAGGGCUGGCGGCGCUGACGGCGCUGGCGCUGCUCGCGCGCGCUGGCGCGGCGCCCGCCUUCGCCGGCACCGAUAAUGCCAUGAUGUACCUGGCGCAGUACGGGUACCUGAGCCCGGCGGUGCGCAACCCGUCCAGCGGGCACAUCAUGGACGAGAGCUCGUGGCGCCGCGCCAUCGCCGAGUUCCAGAGCUUCGCUGGACUUAAUGCGACAGGCGAGCUGGACGAGGAGACGACGCAGGUGAUGUCGCUGCCGCGCUGUGGCGUGCGCGACAAAGUCGGCUUCGGCGAGAGCCGCGCCAAGAGAUACGCGCUGCAAGGAUCCCGGUGGCGAGUGAAGAACUUGACGUACAAGAUCUCCAAGUACCCGUCCAAGCUGAAUCGGGCCGAGGUGGACGCCGAGCUGGCCAAGGCGUUCAACGUCUGGGCCGACUACACCGACCUCACCUUUACGCAAAAACGAUCCGGACAAGUCCAUAUCGAAAUAAGGUUCGAAAAGGGAGAGCACGGUGACGGCGACCCGUUCGACGGGCCCGGCGGCACCCUGGCCCACGCUUACUUCCCGGUGUACGGCGGUGACGCGCACUUCGACGACGCCGAGAUGUGGUCUAUCAACUCGAGGAGGGGAACUAACCUUUUCCAGGUGGCCGCGCACGAGUUCGGACAUUCGUUAGGUCUUUCGCACAGUGACGUUCGUUCCGCGCUCAUGGCGCCCUUCUACAGAGGUUACGACCCCGCCUUCCAGCUUGAUACCGACGAUAUUCAAGGCAUUCAGGCACUGUACGGGCGUAAGAGCCAGACCGACAUCGGCGGAGGCGCGCUGGCGCCGGCGGCGCCGCGGCCCACGACUGCGCCGCCGGCGGCGGAGGACCCCGCGCUGUGCGCCGACCCCAACAUCGACACCAUAUUCAACUCUGCUGACGGAAACACCUUUAUAUUCAAGGGCGAACACUACUGGCGGCUGACCGAGGACGGAGUGGCGUCGGGGUACCCGCGCCUGAUCUCGCGCUCCUGGCCCAACCUGCCCGGUAACAUCGACGCCGCCUUCACCUACAAGAACGGCAAGACCUACUUCUUCAAGGGCUCCAAGUACUGGAGGUACAACGGACAGAGGAUGGACGGCGACUAUCCCAAAGAAAUUAGCGAAGGUUUCACUGGUAUUCCUGACAACUUAGACGCUGCGCUCGUAUGGUCCGGCAACGGCAAGAUUUACUUCUACAAGGGCUCCAAGUUCUGGAGGUUCGACCCCGCGCAGCGGCCGCCCGUCAAGUCCACCUACCCCAAGCCGCUGUCCAACUGGGAGGGCAUCCCGGACAACAUCAACGCUGCCCUGCAGUAUACGAAUGGCUACACCUACUUCUUCAAGGGUGGCCAGUACUGGAGGUUUAACGACAGGACGUUUAGUGUGGACUCGGAUAACCCCGCGUUCCCACGCAGCACGGCUUUCUGGUGGCUGGGCUGCUCGAGCGCGCCGCGCGGCACAGUCGGAGUGGUGAGCGUCCAGUCGGGCGGCGCUCGACUGUAGUAUGGCGGCGCGAGCCGUGUCGUAUAGGAGGCCCCCUCCGCCGCGACUACAAUCACCCCUCAUUAUGGUGAGGAGGCAUCGGGCGGGAACGGCAGCACGAGCGCGCGCCUGUCCGCCGGGAUCGCGGCGCUGGCGCUGGCGGCCUUGUGCUCGCGGUUCUAGCAGUGCCUGCACUUCCUGGGGUUCAGAACCGAUGCCUAACGGAUCUUGAGACGUGGAGCGCCAGCCGCCUGGCUGCUACAGUCCCGCCGCAACCGCGGGAGUGGCGCCCGAGUGAGUGCCUCGCCGCUUCGCCGACUGUUAUUGUGUGUGUGCGUGUCAGGCUUCGGUAUAUUGUGUAUAGCGAACGCCGAGUGUGAUGAUGAUUGCGACCUUUUAUAUUGUUACGAGAACGAUAAUUUAAUGCAAGUCAUAGUUUUUAUACUUAUUAUAAAUAGAUGAUGUAAGUACGAGUGUGAUAUUGAUGUAAGCGACGAUUUUUAAAUAAAACUAAUGAAGUAAA
rnacentral:misc_RNA from 1 species